AGAAAAGGGGGCGUUUGUGCGCCGGGAAAACCACAGUGUCCACCGUGUUCUCUGAAUUUUCUGAACUUCCGAUCAUCUUCCUCCUCCAGCUCCUGUCGUUCGUGCGUAGAGAGGGCGAGGUGAGGGGGAGCUAGGACUAGCUAGGGUUUAUGGAGAGACCACGGUGCCAACAGAUGGUCCCUCUAGCGCGCCCCCUCCAUGGCUCGUCGUUGCCGAGUGGCCAGAUCCAGCUGCAGGCGAGCCCUCCGGACAGCAUCUCUCCACCCUCUUGAGCAGGUGUUGCAGAUUACAGAACGACAUCAACCUCCUUAACCCGCUGGCUGAGCUAGAGAAGCAAGCACAAGAAGAAGCACCUCGUGCAAGCCAUCAAAUCAUCAUGUAUGUGCGCAUCAGAUCAUGUAUGGUCCAGAGGAAAUAUUCCUUUCUCGUUCAAUUGAUUUGUCUCCUGGCCUCUUUUGUCUUUGUGUUCUGUCUGCAGGAUAUCAAGUGUCAGGACAGCUUCAACAUGUGAGCAUGAUCCUUUCCAAGCUUUAAUCAUGUGUUGCUAGCUAAACAUGAUAACAUUAAUACCAUGUAUUUUGUAUUAUUGACUUGGGAAAUUGAUUUAAAUUGCUAUUAGUGGUUAUAAUAGUUUGCUAUACUUUUAGUAGAUUAUGUUUAUGCAGGUUAGGGGAGCCAUGGCGCAGUGGUAAAGUUGCUGCCUUGUGACCAUGAGGUCAUGGGUAAAAGUCUUGGAAACAGCCUCUUGCAGAAAUGUAGGGAAAGACUGCGUACAAUAGACCCAAAGUGGUCGGACCCUUCCCCAGACCCUGCGCAAGCAGGAGCUACAUGCACUGGGGCUGCCCUUUUUAUGUUUAUGCAAGUUAGACAUAGAGGUGUUGUUCGAGAAAGUAUGUAGAUUUAGGAACAAGCCCAUCCUGACUACUGCUGCGUUUUGCUGAUGUGCUCCUGUCGCAUGUGCUAAUGUUUGGGCUCUUGUCGCAAGAUCUGAAUUAUUGUUUGAAGAAAUAUAGGAGGUUUAAUUUUAUUUUAUUUGUUGAUAUUACCGAAAAUGGAUCACAAUGUCGACUCAACCAUUGUUAUGCGCUUUUAGUAGGAUGGUGUGGGAUACUUUGUCUUUAUUUUCAGAUAUUCAACCCAUAGUCCAGGUUUAGGUGACUAAAACAUGAUCUGCUUCUGAAUUGGGAGCUCUACCCCAUAUCUCUAUCCCGACACCCAGCACAGCCUGUCCUCCUCUAACUUUUGGCACCGCCAGACCUCCUCUCGGACUUCCGGCCUUUCCCCGAGCUUCGGCUGACGCUGUGUGACGUCCAUGACACCUGACGCCACCCCCGCGCCAUUGCAGUUUCCAUCUAGGACGGUCAUAGCUUUCUCGAGCUCUGUCAUUCGUUUGCAUUCUAACUAUUCGGUCAAAUGACCCAACAGGCCGGAGGUAUUUUUCUGUUUUUUUUACUUUGGUGUUCAUGUUAUCAUGAUCACAACCAAUUGACAAGACUAAUCUUAUAAGGAAGGCAUCAAUAGCGAUCACAUCGAAUGGGUUGUGCCGCUCUGUUUUGACCUGUAUUUCCAGGGCUCCAGUAUGCUAAGCCUAGAAGGUACGCAAUUAGUUAUCCUACAUCAUUUCUUUAAAGAAAUUGGUUAUCCUACCUCUAUUCAUGACAAUGUCCAUUUUCUUUUGGUAGUGAUGAUCUGCAUCAUGUUGUAGUUUGUAGUAAAAUAUAUAUACCAUUUGAUGCGUUCACUUCUUAGUGUCAAUUGAGUUCUAAACUGUUUUCCAGUGUGAGGUUUAAUGUUCUGAAUAUAUAUUUUAAUUUUUGGAUCUGAUGAAUUGUCCAAGUGACUAAUAUUUUAGUACUUUGUGGCAAUGCUAAUAAAUGAUUUCAGUUUUCAAGUUAUGUAAAUUACACCCAAAAUACUGAGACCUUUUGAUUGCAGUGAAUACUAAAUAGAAUCUGUGAGGUACAGCAAGUAUCCUAUGGAGCCAAAGUGCAGCCCUUGUUACUUAGAAGAUUUUCUUGUUACAUGUGUUACAUUCUGUUUUCUUGACUUAGUUAUUUCUUCUUGAUGUACAUUUGUGUUGCCAUAAAUUGAACAAUUGCCACUUUUUUCCACGGCUGUCAUGGAUACAAUUCAAGGACUUCUAGACAUCAUUAUAUAUUUUCUUAACGUGCUUUAAUGUUGAGUAUGUUUUGAUGGCUUCUCAGCAGUUGGAGAGGGUCACAGUGUCUAUGAUGAAGAAUAAGAAUUUGAAUUUGGAAGGAGGCUUUGUAAUCUCUUGUUAACAAGACCGCAACAUAUGUUUACGGUUCACAAAGAAUGGUUUGAGAAUAUUUGACUCGGAAGCUUUUGCUGAAUGUUAUUGUCGUCCAGAAGUUAGAGUUUGAAAAUUAUGUUCUGGUGCUCCUCAUUUUCUGGGAUGAUCAAUCUCCUAUUAUACUCCCUCCGUUCCGAAUUACUUGUCGCACGUAUGGAUGUAUCUAGAUGUAUUUUAAUUCUAGAUACAUCCAUUUUAGCGACGAGUAAUUUGGAACGGAGGGAGUACAUGGCAAUGUACACAGGGCAAGCCCAAGCAAGCAUCAUGGUUGAUUUCAUGAGGAUGCUAGCUGGCUAUGUAUACCAAGCUAGCUGAUCAAAAGGCACACAAUCAGUGUACGCACACAAGAGUUGUUGGCGGCUAAAAUCAUGAAGCAACACACUAACAAAUCGUGGCCAGCAUACAGGCUGGUGAAGAUAGACAAUGUAUUUGCAAGUUUUCUUGACUUAGAUAUUUUGCCAUCUUGUCUUUAGAUUUUUUUCGAUAAAGGGCAAUUUUAU